ACUUCAGUUGACGGUAACUGAAGUUUUGUUAUCUUAUAUAAUAAAGUUGACUUACCUCUCUCCUCAUGCGUCCACGUCAGCAAAGAGAAGGGGGCAUUUUGCGCCAGGUGUCCACUUUUCUUCAGCGAUAAAAAAAAUGUUUUCGAUUUCAUUAUGGGUUUCUUUUACGAGCAUUAAUUAAAACUAUGGAGACCUCAAUAUAUUGGGCUUCGUUUUUUUGGUCCAUCAAAGAAUCCCCUUCUUCUUUGUGCUGAUUUCUCUUCCGCUUCUCGAGGAAGUAACGUUCCGGCGUUAUGUCAAUCACUGAAAACCCACCAAUCCUAUGAUUUCCACUUCAUUGAAACUUUUUGGAUUCCCUCAGUUUCGAACUUUUGUUCCCUAGCUUCUCCUCUUUACUAAAAUUAUCAAAAUCGAAGAAUCUUGGCAAGCUUCUACACUCCAAGCUGCUAGAUUUUCUUACGAACAGUGGUCGCAAAGUUGAUUCCAUAUAGUCUUUGAUCUGUCUAGCUACAAUAAUCUAUAUUGCUUUGUUUGUAUCUUCAAGAGAAAAUGCAGAGAAUUUGAUUCACAAGAACCUCUUUCGUGUAUUCUGAUUCUGUGGCCAUUGAUUUAUUGAGUUGAUAUGAUGGAAUUGCUUCUGAUUCCUUGAGUGAUGAGACACUCACGUCAGGUUUUUAAAAACUGUGUAGGUUCAAAGGUUCAUUCUGCAGAUCAAAAGAUCAUUUGGAUGACUCAGCAUCGAGCACUGAAACUUCACAUGAAGCAACAAGAGGGUGAGCCUCUACAUAUAGGUAACAUUACCAACCAGAGGAAAUGUUGAGCUUGGAGUUCCAGGGACAUGGCCUUCCCUCCCACUCCCUCCUUUUUCAGUAUAUAUCCGCAAUACAGCCGUUUCUGCUAUUUAACAAUCCCGUCAUAUAAGUAGUUUGCGAAAGGCCACGACUCCUCUAUCAUCUACAUGAUUGCUUGUGACUCUCUUCAUUACUUUGUGUUGAGUUCUCAGAGCCUCAGGUUAAAUGCUACAUUACUCAGCUAUUAAAGGGCUCAAUCAUUGUCCCGCUAAUCAUUGUUGGGAUUGACUUCGAGAGCACCAGCAGCAUAAUUGGUGCAAUAUACGCACUUACCAGUAUAAACAAGACAUGCCAGCAGAGACAUUCAAAGAGUUCCAGAUUCUAUUAUUUUGCUUCUAAACAGUGUGUUCCCAAUGGAUUCAAAAUUUAAUGGCACUGCAACUAAUGCUCUCAAGAGCAAGGGUGUUGGUGUCAAUACUCAUGUGGAGCAGACUGAUGGUGUGGCAGCAGCACUUGGUGAAAAUACAAAUGUCAACCAUCAAAUUUCCUCAUCUGUUGUACCAGAUGAGGGCGUUCAGCAUCAAACAAUCAGAUUUUUGACCCAAAGAAUGGAAAGAAGAAGGCACGGUUGGAUUGGAUCCACCUAGAAAACACAAAUCACCAUUACAUUUCCUUAUGUUCUUAUGUCGUCCUUUUCGCUUGCUUAUGCACUAUAAGUUAGAACUUUAUCAAUUUUUAAUUAAACUCAACGCGGUGGGUGGUUUUUCAAUAAACACAAUAUAUGCAUUGAAUAAGUCUAAGUCCUCAGCAUGUUAAAUUGUGUAAAAAAUAUUUUAUUUGAGAUGUUAAAUCUACUCAUCAAAAACUAUUUAUGCAACAAUUUUGAACUAUU